UGUUUUUUAAUAGUAGAUAUUGAGUACUGAUCAUUACCUGAGUAGUGAUUCUCCAACAGAAAGAGGUUCCUACUCAAUGGUCUGAAGAUGACCACAGUAGUGGUAGAAACCGGUCGCCUUGAUAAAUAAAUCGUGAUCAAGACUGUUUUUAAUAGUAAAUAUUUCAAAAUUUAAUCGCUUAGUACACGUUAAGUAGUAUGCAUCUCGAGAGAGUUUACUGUGCAACACUGUCCGUUGCAGUCAAUCUAACGAAUUCCCUCCUGUGCCCAGCUCUUCAUUGGGGUGUGAUUUCUAACUCGCCUCCACGUGGUACACCCCGGACAACGCUGUCCAGCGGCUAAAGAGUUAGAAACCUAGGCAAUCCGGACUGUCUUACGACCUCCCACCAUCUCAUAGUAGAACUUGCAACCUUUGUCUUCAAUUAUUUUCUAGACGUUUUCCAAUCUCCGUCUUCUUCCACAGUUUUUGCCCUCUGCAGCUCCCUCAUGUACCAUGAAAGUCAGUCCCUGAUGUCUUAACAGUUGUCCUACUAUACUGUCCCUUCUUCUUGUCAGUGUUUCCCAUAUAUUCCUCGCCUCUCAGAUUCUGCGCAAACCUCCUCAUUCCUUACCUUAUCAGUCCACCUAAUUUCCAACAUUCGUCUCAAUGCUUCGAUUCUCUUGUGUUCCAAUUUUCCCACAAUCCAUGUUUCACUACCAUAUAAUGUUGCACUCCAAACGUACAUCCUCAGAAAUCUCUUCCUCAAAUUAAGGCCUAUGGUUGAUACUAACAGACUUCUCUUCGUCAGGAAUGCCCUUUUUUCCCAGAGCUAGUCUGCUUUUGAUGUCCUCCUUGCUCCGUCCGUCAUUCGUUAUUUUGCUGCUUUGCUAGUAGAAUUACUUCAUUUACUUCAUGACCGUCAACCUUGAUAAGUUUCUCGCUGUUGUCGUUUCUGCUACUUCUCAUUACAUUCGCCUUUCUUCGAUUUACUCUCAGCCCAUAUUCUGUACUCAUUACACCGUUCAUUCCAUUGAGCGGAUCCCGUAAUUGUUCUUCACUUUGACUCAGUAUAUUAAUGUCAUCAGCGAAUCGUAUCAUUGAUAUUCUUUCACCUCGAAUUUCAAUUCCACUCCUGAAUCUUUGUUUUAUUGCCAUAACUGCUUCUUUGAUGUACAGAUUGAACAGUACAGACGAAAGGCUACAUCCCUGUAUUACACCCUUUUUAAUCCGAGCACUUCGUUCUUAGUCGUCCACUCUUAUUAUUCCCUCUUGGCUCUUGUACUUAUUGUAUAUUACCUAUCUCUCCCUAUGGCUUAUUCCUAUUCUUGUCAGAAUUUCGAACAUCUUGCACAAUUUUCCAUUGCCAGACGCUUCUUCCAGGUCGUCAGAGCCCGUGAACGUGUCCUUCAUUUUUCUUUAGUCUUGCUUCCAUUAUCAACAGUGGCGUCAGAAUUGUCUGUCUGGUGCUUUUAUCUUUCAUACAGCCAAUCUGAUCAUUAUGUAACACAUCCUCAAUUUCUGUUUACAUUCUUCUAUAUAUUAUUCUUGUCAGCAACUUGGAUGCAUGAGCUGUUAAGCUGAUGCUGCGAUAAUUCUCGCACUUGUCAGCUCUUACUGUCUUCGGCAUUGUGUGCAUGAAAUUUUUCCGAAAGUCAGGUGGUAUGUCUCCAGACUCAUACAUUCUACACACCAACGCGAAUGGUGCCCACUUCCCCCAAACAUUUUAGAAAUUCUGAUGGACUGUUAUAUAUCCCUUCUGUCUUAUUUGAUCUAAUACAAAGAAACGGAAAAUGGACUGAAACUUACCAGCCAUCGGCAGAACUGGCCCCAGCAACACGAAAUUUUCUUCUCCAGCUCGCUGAGACGCGUCGCGUUGACCACGGCGUGUUUUGCGUCACGGAUUGCUUGGUGGACCUUCGUAGCAGACAGCGCCGUCGCUUCCUCCCUUGGUGGUCUGAUCCACGCGGGAUUGGAACCCUGUAUGUACGCUCCAAGUGUUUCUACACAGCUAUACUUCAGUCGGAUCACUAUACUACUGCAAAUAGUCACGUCUCUCUCCGACAUACGUGGCGACAGUAUCCAACCAGGGUUUCAUAUCGCUGGUGAGGCAGACAUCCCGUUUAUUCAUCCACUCCCUGAGGCUACUGCACAAAUAUUCAGGUGAGACUUUGCAGCAGCCCUGUUUAACACUGAGUUACAGUGUCCGGUUCUGUAUGAUUCCUGGACUUUAUUGUUUUUGAAUCUCUCUGAUUUGCGAAAAGGUGAAAAUGUUGCCCGAAUCGGUUCCUCAUCCCGUACGCACUGCACUCUUAUCGUCGUCGUCCUUUGUAUUCAGUGCGUAGAAACAACCGCCUGCUUGCGCAAGUUUUAUCCCAGGAACCAAAUCUGAGAGGUGCCUCUCAAACGUACGUCGUAUGUCUUUGUCUAGGCCAAGAAUUGUAGACACCACAAGCAAAUAACGGCCACAACGUAAAGAUUUCUAUCGUUUCCGUCUAAGAUUCAUCGCACGCCACCACGGAAGAAGCCAUACUAUCCUUAUUUUCAUUCUUCUUAUUGUCCUUCCUAUUUCGCAUAAGGCUCGACUUGGCAAUAGUUGUCUGCGUCUCUGACGUCUUGUGCUUCGGCUGUAUAACAAAGCAGAUGUUUCGUUACUGCCCCCGGUCGUUCCAGAGAAGGACGAGGCCGUCAAACUCGCCCUCGGUGCAGUCUUUGGACGAGAGGGCGAAAUGCACGUCCCUCUCGGAGGCACCUCAGGAACAGGAGGGAUCAACGAACCCUCUUCAUAGCGUUCGCCUUUACCAUUCACAAGCUGUCGCAUCUUCUGUCGCGAAACGGAGAACCUCCGCUGCGCUGUUCGUAGUACUACAAGCACAGACCAACUGAAAUACCAGAAGAUAUGCCAGCUUGCGACUUGUGAAGGCGAAUGGUGUGAGGAGGGCACUCUAGCCUUCCUGUUCCUGAGAUGCCUUCGAGAGGGACUGCAAUUCGUCCUCUCGUCCAACGACUGCGCUGGGGGCAAGCUGGACGGCCUUGUCCCUUACUGGAACAGUGAGGCAGUAACCGAGGGUCCGCAGUGUUUUGCCAACUGAACCAUAAGACGUCAGGGACGCAGGCAACUAUUCCAGUCUCAUGUGAAACAGAAAGGACAGUAAGAAGCAUAGAAAUAAUAAGGAUUUUUUUCAUUAUGGUGCACGGUAAAUAUUAGACGAAUGUGGUUGGCCGUUAUGUGCUUGUGCUGUCUACAAACCUUGACUCCAAGACACACAACAUAUGUUUCUUCAGACACGACGCAGACUCAGUUCCCGGUAUGAAACGUCGGGAAUCAGACGGUCGUUUGUACAGACUGAAUCAAAAUGAGUGUGAAGUUAAGCGUCCAGCGCAGGACGAUGACCGAUCUAUGCAACAUUUUCAGGUUUUCGCUAAUCGGAGCAAUUAAGAAACAAUAAAGACCAAGGUUUACACAGAACUGAAGCUAUUACUGGGUGUCGAACACAGGUGCUGCGCAGCCGUGUGUGAAAAUUUGCGUAGUAGCCUCAGGGAGUGGAUGGACACACGGGUCGUUUGUUUCAUUACCAAGUGAAAGACCUGGGCGAAUACUGUCGGCCCGUACUCCAAGAGACAUGUGACUAAUUGCAGCAGUGUGCUGACCCGACGGAAGUACAGUUAUGUAGGAACAGUUCGAGUGCAAAUACAGGGCUUCAAUCCCGUGUGGAUCAGACCCCCAGGCGAGGAAGCGACGGCGCUGUCUGCUACGAAGGUCCACCAAACAAUCCGUGGCGAAAAACACACCGUGGUCAGCGCGACGCGUCUCAGCGAGCUGGAGAAGAAAAUUCCGUGUUGCUGGGGCCAGUUCUGCCGAUGGCUGGUUCUUCUCGACGAUACGGACCAUAGCUACGAAACUAUACUUCACAUGGAGCAAUAAACUGGACUCAAACGCCAGAGGAAGGAGAGGAGAUUAAUGCUUAACGCCCGUCGACAACGAGGUCAUUGGAGAUGGAGUACAAGCCCGGAUUAGGGAGUGCUGGGGAAGGAAAUCGGCCGUGCCCUUUCAACGGAACCAUCCCCCCAUUUGCCUGAUGCGGUUUAGGGAAAUCACGGAAAUCCUGAAUCAGGAGGCCGGACGGGGGUUUGAACCGUCAUCCUCCCGAUUGCGAUGCCAGUGUGCUAACCACUGGUUCACCUCGCUCGGUCUCAAGCGCCGCGUGAUCAGUGUGUCGUGCAAAUCGGACGACAUUCAUGACUACAGCUGGAAGGGGUUUACAAAGAUCUCUGUGACACUGUAGGUUUUAAGGCGAUGUUAGAUGUGAAACCUGAGGCCAUCGAAGCUGUCGUGCCGUGUGAAGCUGAGACUAGACUUUGACCCACUGCAGUGAACCACAUUCCCAGACAGCUUACAUUUCGGAAGCGAGUCAGACAAGAAUUUUUCUUAUCAUUUGGACCCAAGAACGAAGUGCCUUACACUGAAGCGCCAAAGAAGUUUGUAUACGCAUGUGUAUUCAAAUACAGACAUACGUAAACAGACAGAAUACGGUGCUGCGGUCGGCAACGCCUGUAUAAGACAAGAACUGUCUGGAGCAGUUGUUAGACCAGUUACUACUGCUAUAAUGUCAUGUUAGCAAGAUUUGAGUGAGUCUGAACGUGGUGAUACAGUCGGCACUCGAGCGAUGGGUCACAGAACUUCCGAAGUAGCGAUGAAGUGGGGAUUUUCCCGUACGACUAUUUCACGAAUGUACCGUGAGUAUCAGGAAUCCGGUAAAACAUCAAAUCUCUGACGUCGCUGCAGUCGGAUAAACAUCCUGCAAGGACAGGACCACAACAACUGAAGACAAUCAUUCAACAUGACAGAAGUGUAACUCUUCCGCAAAUUGCUGCAGAUUUCAAUGCUGGGUUAUCAACAAGUGUGAGUGUACGAGCCAUUCAACGAAACGUCAUUGAUGUAGGAUUCCGGAGCCGAAGGCCCACUUGUGUACCGUUGAUUGACUACACUACACAAAGCUUUAACCCUCGCCUGGACCCGUCAACACCAACAUUUGAGUGUUGACGACUGGAAACAUGUUGCCUGGUCGGACGAGUCUUGUUUCAAAUUGUAUCGAACGGAUGGAAUGGAAUGGAGAUAACUUCAUGAAUUCAUGAGCCCUGUCAUCAGGCGACUGUUCAAGCUGGUGGAGGCUCUGUAAAGUUAUGUUUUAUUGAUAACUUUAAUAAUUGACAUUAUAAAUGUUAUAUGUGGUCAUAGAAAAAUUGUAGAAAUUAAAAUAUUAGAAUUAAUAAUAAUAAUAAUAAUAAUAAUAAUAAUAAUUUUUAGUGUUAUAAUCCUCUAUCUGAAACAACUUCCAGUGUGUAUUUUUACAUUUGAAUAUAAAGAAAUUAUACUUUACUAACUAUCUGAAUGUAAAUGAAAAUCAAAAUUAAAUGUAAGA